UCUGGUUUAGGUUAAAAAAAAUUGUGUUAGUGUUAGAAUUAAGUUUAGGGUUAUGAGCUAGGGUUCAUUUUAGGGUUAGGAGCUACGGUUAGGGUUAGGAUUUAGGGUUAUGGUUAUGGUAAGAGUACAGGUUAUGGUUAGGUUUUAGGGUUAUGGUUAUGGUAAGAGUACAGGUUAGGGUUAGGUUUUAGGGUUAUGGUUAUGGUAAGAGUACAGGUUAGGGUUAGGUUUUAGGGUUAUGGUUAUGGUAAGAGUACAGGUUAGGGUUAGGUUUUAGGGUUAUGGUUAUGGUAAGAGUACAGGUUAGGGUUAGGUUUUAGGGUUAUGGUUAUGGUAAGAGUACAGGUUAGGGUUAGGUUUUAGGGUUAUGGUUAUGGUAAGAGUACAGGUUAGGGUUAGGUUUUAGGGUUAUGGUUAUGGUAAGAGUACAGGUUAGGGUUAGGUUUUAGGGUUAUGGUUAUGGUAAGAGUACAGGUUAGGGUUAGGUUUUAGGGUUAUGGUUAUGGUAAGAGUACAGGUUAGGGUUAGGUUUUAGGGUUAUGGUUAUGGUAAGAGUACAGGUUAGGGUUAGGUUUUAGGGUUAUGGUUAUGGUAAGAGUACAGGUUAGGGUUAGGUUUUAGGGUUAUGGUUAUGGUAAGAGUACAGGUUAGGGUUAGGUUUUAGGGUUAUGGUUAUGGUAAGAGUACAGGUUAGGGUUAGGUUUUAGGGUUAUGGUUAUGGUAAGAGUACAGGUUAGGGUUAGGUUUUAGGGUUACGGUUACGGUAAGAGUACAGGUUAGGGUUUAGGGAAAAUAGGGUGUUUAAUGGGACUGA